AAGUUAGCACCCACCCACUCUCCUAGAGGAAUGAAAUAUUUGGAGAAAUAUUUUAAAAAGGCAGAAUAUUAUAUUUCCCUGGAUGAGAAAUGUACAAACAGGCUCCUGG